GUUACUAUGACAUUAGUCACCGUGUCGAUUUGCUACGACGACAAGCGUCUCCGAAAAUCGCAACAAUUUUACGGUGUUGGUGGGUCAUCGCCCUUGCGUUGCUCUGCAGAUUGAGUUACAGACAUGCAAUUUUGCAAACUCAGUGAGAGAGAGCUUUCGAUUGUUGUGAUCGGACCAGAUGCGCUUGAUUCCCCUUUUUAAACGGAUGAUUAAUCCAUUUCACUAACUAGCUAGUCUCUGACUGUGUUGAUGAUUGAUGAAGAAUUGGAGAUCGAAGGAAAACAUUUGCAGUUGUUGCAGUAAAUAAACAAGAAGAACAUAAC